ACGAUGUAGACAAACUAUUAAAUAAUUAUCCACAAAUAAAAAAUUCAUUUUAUCCAGAUUUUAUAACUGACAAAAAUACACAGCUGUCUUAUCGAAAUUAUUAUUUCAGAAGCUUAAAAAUUGAAUGGAAGUUUGAAAUAUUUAGUGCUUUCGGUAUUACAGUUAUGUUUUGUCAUUAGUUAACAAUGGAUAGUUUUAUUUUUAAUUUGUAGAUAAUUGCUAGCUUGGUUAUGGAAUUGUUUUUUUGAAUACUUGGACAUAACUUUGAUAAAAAAUUUAGGAACAUUUUUAAGAUGAAUUUGAAUUAGCUUAAUACUUUCAAAGUAACGUAAUAAUUAAUUUCAAUUCUAAAAUGUUAGUUUUAAAAACAUCCAGCAAUUUCAAGUUUUAAAAUAUAUGUUAAAGGUCUCGUCUACCACACAGUGCAGUGUUUAAAUCGUAAAGCAGUUUUUCAUCGUUUCAAUGAUAUUAGUUUUAGUUGGAGAUAAGUGGACGAUGCAUCCUUUAUGUACUCUACUUAAAACAAAUGUCAUGGAAAUGAUGAAAAUCCACUGUGGUACGGCGUUUAAAAACAGUUUUUUGGUUUUCAACAUGCAAGAAGUUUGUGGAUUUCGUUCCACUUUUGUAUUGUCGAUUUUUCUUAACGGAACUAAAUUAUUACAGUGGUAUCGUAGGUAUGUAUAAAAUAAUUGUGUACGUUGCUUUAAAUGUAGGCAAACAUUUUCUACAAACUGGAUACGAUUGUUGCAAUUUUACAGUAUCUGUUAUAAAAGGUGUUAAUUUGAUAUAUUUUAGAUAUUUUUUAUUAAUUGGACCAAGUAUAAUAAAUUUCUAUAGAUCUUGGAAAAGUCAUUGUUAUAUGGGAGAAUUUUGUCUUGCUUCCUUUUUUUAUAUCGGCAAACACAAAUUUUAAAUCGCUUGAUUUUAAAUUUUAUCUAAAGCCGCUCAUAUUUUAAAUGGAAGUAGAUUCUCGCGAAAAUAUAACAAUUGAUAUUUUUCCAGCUAUUUAUUUAUUUUGGCAGAAUGUUCGAUUUGAACAGAUUAUUUUAAAAUUGUCUAAUUCUUGACAAUAACUUUUGUCUGUGAAGGACCCAAUAAAAAUAAAUAUUUACUCAGAAAUAUGGUUAACAUGUGAUUUUUUCAUAUUGUUGUCAACAUCCAGUAGCUGUGUAAUAUUUAUUACAUGGUGAGGUAAACCGUUUCUAUUAAACUUUAUUCAUACCAUCGAUGAGCAAUGAUUCACCUCUCCGAAGAAAGAUUACAUAGGUGGGUAUAUAUUCAUAUUUAACAUUUAAAAGUUUUUCGCACUUCGAUGAAUAAACAGGAACUACUAUGGUGGGUCUGAAUGUGUGGUUGUAGUGCUUGUGUUUGAGUAGAGGGCCAACACUUCUUUGACAGUUAUAUUUUCCUUCCUUGGUUUUGUGGGCCCCUGGUAAAUAUUUUUGAAGAGGAACCUCACUUCAGUUUUGUUGUUACUGUAAACUAUACUUUACUGGUUUAUUUUAAUGGCAAUGCUGAAAAAAAAACUAAGAAAUGCGAAUAUAACAAAAUAGACGUGUUUGGUCCUUUAGCAUUGAAUGAUGUGUGAAUGUUUAUUUACAGACCCUUCACCUUUCAAGUGUUUCCGUUGUGGGCGAGGUUAUGCGGUGCAAUAUACACUCGAAAGACAUCUAAGGUAUGAGUGUGGAGUUGCUAAGCAGUUCUCUUGCACUGUGUGUUUAAGAAAAUUUUCUCGUAGAGAUAUAUUGAGAAAUCAUGAAAAAAAAUUUAAUCAUAUCUCGCAUAGUACAGUUUAAAAAGUUUCUUUUUACAUAUAUCUAGUCAGCUUAAAAAUAUAUUAAAAAAAGUAACAGGUGUGACUUGUAUUAAGCAGUACAGUUAUGUUUGUUACUUUGAAGUAAGAAGGUCGAUCGUUUUUCAGUAAAACAAUCGGACUGGGUGGAGGUGGGCAAUUUUUUCAAAAUUUUCUUUAUUUUCAAUUUGAAAUCACUGUAAUUCCAUUGGUAUCCUGUAAUUUUAUUAAAAAAAAACAGUAGAUAAAAAAAGUAGCAUUGAAGAAACCUACCCAGGAAUGUAUGAAGUCGCCCUUUACAUGGAUGAAUACAGCGUACCGAAGAUCUGCUAAAGCAAGGACCACUGUGACUUCUUCCUAAAGGAUUCCUUUUCCUAAUUAAUCCUUUCCAUUACCUUAUUCCUCAUUUCCAUACCAGUUUCUACUUCACGAUUAUGUUAGUCUUCACUACUACGUUGCUCCAGAGAGGAUCGUCCAUUCCCGUCUCAAAAAUACCCAUCUUCCCCAAUUAUUCCUCGUCUUCCUAGGUGUGGCCAAAGCAGAUUAACAUACUUUAAAGCUGUAUUCUUUAUUAGUUUGAAAUAAAGAUUUUUUAAUA